rnacentral:rRNA from 1 species
GACAGAGGGUGCAAACGUUGUUCGGAAUUACUGGGCGUAAAGCGUGUGUAGGCGGCCACGUAAGUCGGAUGUGAAAGCCCCAGGCUCAACCUGGGAAGUGCACUCGAUACUGCGUGGCUUGAGUAUCGGAGAGGUUGGUGGAAUUCUCGGUGUAGAGGUGAAAUUCGUAGAUAUUCGGAAGAACACCAGUGGCGAAGGCGACUUACUGGACACAUAUUGACGCUGAGGUGCGAAAGCGUGGGGAGCAAACAGGG